AAGUCGUAACAAGGUCUCCGUAGGUGAACCUGCGGAGGGAUCAUCAAAGAAAUAAUAAUAUUCUAAACCCCAAGUGUUAGGAAAGGAAGGAAAAAAAGAAGAGUAUAUCUAAUUUUCCUUCUUUUUCUAAUGCUUCAAACAAACGAUCACAACUAAAGAGAAAAUGGUGGAUACUUGGUUUUUUUUUCGAGGGAAAUAAGUGCUUGCCUGAUAAUCUGAUUAUUGGAAUUGGAAAGAGAAACAAAUAUACAACUUUCAACAACGGAUCUCUUGGCUCUCA
rnacentral:misc_RNA from 1 species